CACAUUGAUGAUGAUGAUCUGAUUAAUUAUAUUGUCUCUGGUUUGAAUCCUUCUUUCCUUCCUUUUAUCACAUCUCUUUCUAUUGCUUCUCGAGA